CCUGAACGCUGGCGGCGUGGCUAAGACAUGCAAGUCGAAACGGGUGUAGCAAUACACCAGUGGCGGACGGGUGAGGUAAUGUAAUCGCUAACGUAGCCCUGGAAUCUGAGAUAAGGCCAAUCGAAAGGUUGGGUAAUACCAGAUGAAAUAAUCCUUAUCGCAUGAUGAGGAUCUCAAAGGAGCAAUCCGGUCUGGGAGCGGGCGAU
rnacentral:rRNA from 1 species